GCUGUGGGGUGAUUACAGCCGGGGUCACUGAGGGGACAUCGCUGUGGGGUGACCACGGCCCAGAUGACCACGGGGGCAUUGCUGUGGGGUGGCCAUGGCCGGGGUGACCAGGGGACAUCGCUGUGAGGUGACCACAGCCCAGAUGACCACCAGGACAUCGCUGUGGGGUGACCACGACCACGGGGCCGUUGGCCACGGGGCCACCCCCAGCGCUCAGGGUCCCCUCAGUGUCCCCGGAUGUCCCCAGGCACUUGGGAUCCUGCGGGGAGGGCCGCGGGGACGCUGCAGCUCCGGGAACGGGGCGGGAAUCGUCAAAAUCCCAACGAAAUCGGUGCCGGCCCCUUGGAAAAUCCAUCCCGGGGGUCUCUGGGUGCCAGCGGCCCCCCAGGAGGGGACACUCGGGGCUCCCCGGAUCCCGGGGGGUGCCGAGGGGUGGGAUCCCAGCGUCCUCGGGCCCGGGGAUCCGGCGGGGACGGACGGAGAGUCCGGGGAUCCUCGGGAAUCCAGUCCCAGCCGAGCGGCCUCGGGAACGGGAGCAGGAUUGGGGUCUGGUGGAGCCAGGAGGGAUCUGGUGGAGCCAGGAGGGAUCUGGUUGAGUUGGAUGGGAUCUGGUGGAUCCAUGUGAGAUCGGGUGGAGCCAGGAAGGGUCUGGAGAAUCCCAGUGGGAUUUGGAAAAUCCAGGAGGGAUCUGGUGGAGCCAGAAGAGAUCUGGAGGAUCUAGGUGGGAUCUGGAGUAUCUGUGUGGGGUCUGCAGGAUCCAGGAGCGAUCUGCAAGAUCCGGGUUGGGUCUGGAGGACCCAGGAGGGAUCUGACAGAAACAGGUGGGGUCUGGAGGAUCCAGGAGGGAUCUGAUGGAUCCAGGUGGGGUCUGGAGGAUCCAGGAGGGAUCUGGUGCCAAGGAGGAGCCUUGGAAGCUUCAGGAAGAGGAGCUCGGGGAGGGUCCCAGGGCGGGGCCUCGGUGCCGGGCUGGAGGAGCGGCGUGACCAGCCUGGGGCUGGGAUCGGGCUGGGAUCUGAUGGAGAUCUGGCUGGGAUCCUGGCUGGGAUCUGUGCUGGGUCCUGGUGGGAUCCUGGCUGAGAUCUGAUGGAGAUGUGGCUGGGAUCUGGCUGGAAUCCUGGCUGAGAUCUGGCUGGGAUCUGAUGGAGAUCUGGCAGGGAUCUGGCUGGAAUCGGGCUGGAAUCCUUGGUGGGAUCCUGGCUGGGAUCUGAUGGAGAUCUGGCUGGGAUCGGUCUGGAAUCCUGGCUGGGAUCGGUCUGGAAUCCUUGGUGAGAUCCUGGCUGGGAUCCUGGCUGGGAUCCGAGUUAGAUCUGGGCCGGAUCCUGGCUGGGCUCUGGGCCAGAUCCCAUCUGGAUCCCGGCAGAUCCCCUCAGGCACUGCAGCUCUGCUGGCUGGGAUCUGGGCUGGAAUCCGGCCUCGAGCCCGGCUGGAUUGGGGCUGGAUUGGGGCUGGAAUCCCGGCCGGAUCCCAGUGGAUCCCUCGGGCGGAUCCCUCAGUUGCUGCAGCACUGGCCCCGGCCCUGCGGGCUCUGCUCGUGCAGAUCCACGCCCCGGCCCCGGCCGCCGGCGCCGCUCGUGCUCUGGGGCUCGUUCUUUGGCAGCUUCUUGGCUGGAGCAAGAGGGGCCGGGGUCAUUUGGGGUCAUUUGGGGAGAUUUAGGAUGAUUUGGGAUCAUUUGGGAUCAUUUGGGGUUAUUGGGAUGAUCUGGGAUGAUUCAAGGAUGAUUUGGGAUCAUUUGGGAUGAUUCAGAGAUGGUUUGGGAUCAUUUGGGAUUAUCUGGGAUUCUUGGGAUGAUUUCGGAUCAUUUGGGGAGAUUUAGGAUCAUUUGGGACCAUUUGGGAUGAUUUGGGAUGAUUUGAGAUCAUCUGGGAUGAUUCAGAGAUGGUUUGGGACCAUUUGGGAUCAUUUGGGAUUCUUGGGAUCAUUUGGGAAGAUUUCGGAUCAUUUGGGAUCAUUUGGGAUGAUUCAGAGAUGGUUUGGGAUCAUUUGGGAUUAUCUGGGAUUCUUAGGAUGAUUUCGGAUCAUUUGGCAUCAUUUGGGGAGAUUUCGGAUCAUUUAGGGCCAUUUGGGAUGAUCUGGGAUGAUUCAAGGAUGAUUUGGGAUCAUUUGGGAUGAUUCAGAGAUGGUUUGGGAUCAUUUGAGAUUAUCUGGGAUUCUUGGGAUGAUUUCAGAUCAUUUGGGGUGAUUUGGGAUCAUUUGGGGUUAUUUGGGACGAUUCAGGGAUGAUUUAGGAUGAUUUGGGAUCAUUUGGGAUCAUCUGGAAUUCUUGGGAUGAUUUCGGAUCAUUUAGCAUCAUUUCGGGAGAUUUAGGAUCAUUUGGGACCAUUUGGGAUGAUUCAAGAAUGAUUUGGGAUCAUUUGGGAUGAUUCAGAGAUGGUUUGGGAUGAUUUGGGAUUAUCUGGGAUUCUUGGGAUGAUUUCGGAUCAUUUGGGAUGAUUUGGGGUUAUUUGGGAUGAUUCGGGGAUGAUUCGGGGAUGAUUCGUGGUUAUUGGGAUGAUUUCGGGUUAUUUGGGAUGAUUUGGGGUUUUUGGGAUGAUUUGGGAUCACUUGGGAUUUGGGAAUGAGGCCCCAGCCCAGAAUCCCUGGAUGGGGCUGGAACAGACCCCCCAGACCCC
rnacentral:lncRNA from 13 species